rnacentral:misc_RNA from 1 species
UCCGGCUCAACGCCGGCAGUCUCUCUAGAGUCCCCACCAUUACGUGCUGGCAACUAGAAACGGGGGUUGCGCUCGUUGCGGGACUUAACCCAACACCUCACGGCACGAGCUGACGACAGCCAUGCACCACCUGUCAGGGGCCCUUACGGACACCGCGUCUCUGCGGCUUUUCCCCUGAUGUCAAGCCCAGGUAAGGUUCUUCGCGUUGCAUCGAAUUAAAGAACAUGCUCCGCUGCUUGUGCGGGCCCCCGUCAAUUCUUUUGAGUUUUAGCCUUGCGACCGUACUCCCCAGGCGGGGCACUUAAUGCGUUAGCUUCGACACCGAGGGGGUCGUUCCCUCCGGCAUCUAGUGCCCAUCGUUUACGGCGUGGACUAC